rnacentral:rRNA from 1 species
GACGUAGGGGGCCAGCGUUGCUCGGAAUUACUGGGUGUAAAGGGUUCGUAGGCGGUGUGGCAAGUCGGGAGUGAAAUCUCUGGGCUUAACUCAGGGGCUGCUUCUGAAACUGCCGUGCUAGAGUGUGGGAGAGGCGCGUGGAAUUGCAGGUGUAGCGGUGAAAUGCGUAGAUAUCUGCAGGAACACCCGUGGCGAAAGCGGCGCGCUGGACCACUACUGACGCUGAGGAACGAAAGCUAGGGGAGCAAACAGG